rnacentral:rRNA from 1 species
CAUAGGUUAAUGAGGCGAACCGGGGGAACUGAAACAUCUAAGUACCCCGAGGAAAAGAAAUCAACCGAGAUUCCCCCAGUAGCGGCGAGCGAACGGGGAGGAGCCCAGAGCCUGAAUCAGUGUGUGUGUUAGUGGAAGCGUCUGGAAAGGCGCGCGAUACAGGGUGACAGCCCCGUACACAAAAAUGCACAUAUUGUGAGCUCGAUGAGUAGGGCGGGACACGUGGUAUCCUGUCUGAAUAUGGGGGGACCAUCCUCCAAGGCUAAAUACUCCUGACUGACCGAUAGUGAACCAGUACCGUGAGGGAAAGGCGAAAAGAACCCCGGCGAGGGGAGUGAAAAAGAACCUGAAACCGUGUACGUACAAGCAGUGGGAGCCUCUUUAUGGGGUGACUGCGUACCUUUUGUAUAAUGGGUCAGCGACUUAUAUUCUGUAGCAAGGUUAACCGAAUAGGGGAGCCGAAGGGAAACCGAGUCUUAACUGGGCGUUAAGUUGCAGGGUAUAGACCCGAAACCCGGUGAUCUAGCCAUGGGCAGGUUGAAGGUUGGGUAACACUAACUGGAGGACCGAACCGACUAAUGUUGAAAAAUUAGCGGAUGACUUGUGGCUGGGGGUGAAAGGCCAAUCAAACCGGGAGAUAGCUGGUUCUCCCCGAAAGCUAUUUAGGUAGCGCCUCGUGAAUUCAUCUCCGGGGGUAGAGCACUGUUUCGGCAAGGGGGUCAUCCCGACUUACCAACCCGAUGCAAACUGCGAAUACCGGAGAAUGUUAUCACGGGAGACACACGGCGGGUGCUAACGUCCGUCGUGAAGAGGGAAACAACCCAGACCGCCAGCUAAGGUCCCAAAGUCAUGGUUAAGUGGGAAACGAUGUGGGAAGGCCCAGACAGCCAGGAUGUUGGCUUAGAAGCAGCCAUCAUUUAAAGAAAGCGUAAUAGCUCACUGGUCGAGUCGGCCUGCGCGGAAGAUGUAACGGGGCUAAACCAUGCACCGAAGCUGCGGCAGCGACACUAUGUGUUGUUGGGUAGGGGAGCGUUCUGUAAGCCUGUGAAGGUGGCCUGUGAGGGUUGCUGGAGGUAUCAGAAGUGCGAAUGCUGACAUAAGUAACGAUAAAGCGGGUGA